GGGCCCAUGGAGGUAAAGGUAACCUCGGCCGCUUUGACAUCGGAAAUUGGGGGUUCGAGUCCCCCUGGGUCCA
rnacentral:tRNA from 1 species